rnacentral:rRNA from 1 species
AUUCCGGUUGAUCCUGCCGGAGGCCAUUGCUAUCGGAGUCCGAUUUAGCCAUGCUAGUUGCACGAGUUCACACUCGUAGCAUAUAGCUCAGUAACACGUGGUCAAGCUACCCUGCAGACACGGACAACCUCGGGAAACUGAGGCUAAUCCGCGAUACCGAUCCCACGCUGGAAUGCCGGGAUCCACAAACGCUCCGGCGCUGCAGGAUGCGGCUGCGGCCGAUUAGGUAGACGGUGGGGUAACGGCCCACCGUGCCGAUAAUCGGUACGGGUUGUGAGAGCAAGAGCCCGGAGACGGAAUCUGAGACAAGAUUCCGGGCCCUACGGGGCGCAGCAGGCGCGAAACCUUUACACUGCACGCAAGUGCGAUAAGGGGACUCCGAGUGCGAGGGCAUAUAGUCCUCGCUUUUGAGAACCGUAAGGCGGUUCUCGAAUAAGAGCUGGGCAAGACCGGUGCCAGCCGCCGCGGUAAUACCGGCAGCUCAAGUGAUGGCCAAUCUUAUUGGGCCUAAAGCGUCCGUAGCUGGCCACGAAAGUCCGUCGGGAAAUCCAUCUGCCCAACAGAUGGGCGUCCGGCGGAAA